rnacentral:tRNA from 9 species
GGGCAGAUAGCUCAGUCGGUAGAGCAAUGGACUGAAAAUCCAUGUGUCGGCGGUUCUACCGAAGGUACUCCUAAGGAGAAUUCCGUCUCUGCCCACAA